AUGGCGGCCACCCCGCCGUCGUCGCGGGACCCGUCGCCGCAGCCCCGCCGGCCGGCCGCCGCCGCGGGCCGGCCCGCCGCCAGCGGCACCGGCACCAUAGGCAACGGCAAGCGCGGCGGGCUCCUGCUCGGCCGCUACGAGCUGGGCCGCGUCCUCGGCCACGGCACCUUCGCCAAGGUCUACCACGCCCGCCACGCCGACACGGGCGAGACGGUCGCCAUCAAGGUGCUCGACAAGGAGAAGGCGCUGCGGGCGGGCCUCGUCCCGCACAUCAAGCGCGAGAUCACCAUCCUCCGCCGCGUCCGCCACCCCAACAUCGUGCGCCUCUUCGAGGUCAUGGCCACCAAGUCCAAGAUCUACUUCGUCAUGGAGUUCGUCCGCGGCGGCGAGCUCUUCGCGCGCGUCGCCAAGGGCCGCCUCAAGGAGGACACCGCGCGCCGCUACUUCCAGCAGCUCAUCUCCGCCGUCGGCUUCUGCCACGCGCGCGGCGUCUUCCACCGCGACCUCAAGCCCGAGAACCUCCUCGUCGACGAGCGCGGGGACCUCAAGGUCUCCGACUUCGGCCUCUCCGCCGUCGCCGACCAGUUCCACCCCGACGGCCUCCUCCACACCUUCUGCGGCACCCCCUCCUACGUCGCGCCGGAGAUGCUCGCGCGCCGCGGAUACGACGGCGCCAAGGCUGACAUAUGGUCCUGCGGCGUCAUCCUCUUCGUCCUCAUGGCCGGCUACCUCCCUUUCCAUGACCAGAACCUCAUGGCCAUGUACCGCAAGAUUUACAGAGGGGAGUUCCGGUGUCCGAGAUGGUUCUCCAGAGAUCUCACCAGCCUAUUGAAUCGGCUUCUUGACACCAACCCGGAGACAAGGAUCACCAUGGCGGAAGUCAUGCAGAGCAGGUGGUUUCAGAAGGGAUUUCGGCCCGUCAGGUUCUAUGUUGAAGACGAUCAGCUGCACAGCUUAGGGGACAGUGAGAGUGAGGAGCUGGGGCUGGUCGAACCUACGGAGCCUCCUCCUCCUCCUCCACUUCCGCCGCCGCUGCCGCCACCACCGCAGCAAGAGGAUGAUGACUCAGGGUGGGAGUCGGAUUCCUCUGUCGCAUCCUGCCCUGCCACGCUGUCGUGCGAGGAGCGGCAACGGCCUGCCGGGCGUCUCACACGGCCAGCAAGCCUCAACGCUUUCGAUAUCAUAUCCUUCUCCAAGGGAUUUGAUCUAUCAGGGCUGUUCGAGGAGCGAGGGAGCGAAGUGAGAUUCAUCUCGGCACAACCCAUGGAAACCAUUGUUACAAAAUUGGAGGAGAUUGCCAAGAUGAAGAGCUUCUCCAUUCGCCGCAAGGACUGGCGCGUAAGCAUAGAAGGCACCAGGGAAGGGGAGAAGGGGCCAUUGACGAUUGGGGCUGAGAUAUUUGAGCUUACACCAAGCCUCUUGGUGUUGGAGGUGAAGAAGAAGGCAGGGGAUAAGGCAGAGUAUGAUGACUUCUGCAACAAAGAGUUGAAACCUGGGAUGGAGCCUCUCGUGCACCACCAAUCUGGUUCGGCUCGAAAUGUACCUUCUGAUACUGAGUAG
rnacentral:rRNA from 1 species